GACGAACGCUGGCGGCGUGCCUAAUACAUGCAAGUAGGACGCAGUUGCGAACGGGUGAGUAACGCGUAGGUAACUGCCUAGUAACGGGGGAUAACUAUUGGAAACGAUAGCUCAUACCGCAUACUAGUAGAUGGACCUGCGUUGUAUUGGCUAGUAGGUAGGGUAAUGGCCUACCUAGGCGACGAUACAUAGCCGACCUGAGAGGGUGAUCGGCCAAACUGGGACUGAGACACGGCCCAGACUCCUACGGGAGGCAGCAGUAGGGAAUUUUCGGCAAUGGGGGGAACCCUGACCGAGCAACGCCGCGGGAGUGAAGAAGGUUUUCGGAUCGUAAAGCUCUGUUGUUAAGGAAGCGGUACUUAACCAGAAAGGGACGGCUAACUACGGGCCAGCAGCCGCGGUAAUAC
rnacentral:rRNA from 1 species